GGUCCAUGGAAGAAAGAGAGCUCAAGUUUCCAAUAGAAUCUGGUAUUCCCCCAUGGAAGCUGUUAUCGCUAAGGUCUAGAUGCACGAGGCGAGUAAGGUUUGAUAACCAAACGGGGAUGGUGGAGUUGAUACCAUAGGAAGUGAGAUUAAGUGAGACAACAUGAACAGUUCUUGUGUCACACUUAACUCCUCGCCACCCACAACAUUCUAAUCCGGUCCAUGGUGACAGCCAUUUUGAUUGGUUUGUGAAGCCUUUUCUGAAUAAAAGCAGUGUUUGCCGCUCUCUUUGGAUACAUGUAAUGUUUGAAGAAGCUGUGUUGCUGCUGCUUGCGCCAUAUGUUUGAAAGAACAGGCAUAAUAUUGUCCAAGGCUUGGUGUAUUGGUCCAAGUUUGGUGGUGACAAUAGGCCAAGUACCACGGAGAGGCCUGAACACGAAACUUUAGCUGUGUCAGUCUUUAGCAGGCUUUGGUUUUGGUGGGUUUUGUACUUAAAGCUGUGUCGAUUUAAACUGCAAUUAUAGUUGCUCAUGAAAGUGGUCAUAUUUUAGGUGCUUGAUUUCAAGGAAUUCAUGCAAGUAAAUUUGCUUUUGGUUUUAGGCCUAUUUAAGCUAAAUUUAAUGCCAA